ACCUGCGGAAGGAUCAUUGAUGUGACCCUAACAAAAAUAGACUGUGAAUAUGUAAUCCAUGUUGUCGGGUGAUGGUCCUUGCACCAUCUCUUGGCAUAGGCUCUUCGCCUUCUUAUGGAGGCGAGGGCACUCAUAAGAACCCACGGCGCUGGAUGGCGUCAAGGAACACUGAAGUUGCUUGCUUGGGGCUACGGUCGGCUUGCCGGACGAGCCCUGUGCUGUGAUGCUACCUGAAUCCAUAAGACUCUCGGCAACGGAUAUCUUGGCUCUCGCAUCGAUGAAGAACGUAGCAAAAUGCGAUACCUGGUGUGAAUUGCAGAAUCCCGUGAACCAUCGAGUUUUUGAACGCAAGUUGCGCCUGAGGCCUUUGGUCGAAGGCACGUCUGCCUGGGCGUCACGCCAAAAGACACUCCCCCACCAUCCCUGGUGCGGGAUGUGGCGUCUGGCCUUCCAUUGCACUUAGGAGUGGUAGGCUAAAGUAAGUGGCUUCUGGCUAUGGUGCCAGUCGCAGCACUUGGUGGACGACACAUGUUGUUCUCGGAGUUGUGACUUGUACUGCUUCCAGCUAAUAUUGGCCCCCUGGACCCAUGUGGAUUGAGCAUCAAUUGCUUGAACCGCGACCCCAGGUCAGUCGGGAUUACCCGCUGAAUUAAAGCAUAUCAAUAAG
rnacentral:rRNA from 1 species